AGACAGCACUUCCGGGUUCUAUGUGCAGGCGCAGAGAAUUCCUCGUUUCCGGUGGUUGCAGCGAGCUUGCUCCGGCGCUGUAGCUUUGGAGGUCCCAGGUCUCUACGGAUAUUAUAGAGACCCCCGGCGUCUGGUCUCCAUCUAGCCCGCCAUGGUCCAUCUAACCUCUCUUCUCUGUAAGUCUUACCGAGGUGGCCACGUGACCAUUCGGCUAGCCCUCAGCGGCUGCACCAAUCGGCCCUUCUACCGAAUCGUGGCUGCUUACAACAAGCGGGCCCGAGAUGGCCCCUUCUUGGAGCAGCUGGGCUGCUAUGACCCCCUGCCCAACACCAGUGGGGAGAAGCUUGUUGGCCUUAACCUGGAAAGGAUCCGGCACUGGAUGGGCUCCGGGGCGCAUCUCACCAAGCCUGUGGAGAAGCUUCUAGGUCUUUCUGGAUAUUUCCCUCUGCAUCCCAUGACCGUCACAAAUGCUGAGAGGCUUCGCAGGAAACGAGCUCUUGAAGCCAGUUCAGCUUCUCAGGCAGUAAGCCCAGAGACAGCAGCCAGCUGAGCAGCCUGAGCAGGACCUGCAAGUGGAAUCAAGAAGCAUUUGUUGAACGUGUACUCUGCAGACACUCUGCUGAGCUCUAGGAGCCGUGGGGGGCACCCUUUGAUCUAAGAACUUGUUCUGUUUUGUUCUGAGUGGCUACAAGGAGUUCCUGAAGCUCCUUGAGGAGUAAAGGGAUGACAGACAUGCUUCAGGAAUCUCCAUAGGAUGGCUAUAUAGAAGAUGGACUGAAGGAGGCUGAGACCGAAAAAUCCAAGUCUUAAACAGUUGGCAUAGAUCAGAUGGUUACUUUGUCACCUGAAAAAGCCACCAAUAAAAAUAUCGAAUGAAGCAAUAGAGCCCUUCAGCAGAUGAGGAAAAACUUUCCUUGAGACUAUCCAUUAAUGAAUUAGUCCAAAUGCCUAACAAUGAUCAUCUAGGCCACACUUCUCCAUCUUGACUCAGAGAUGUUAACAAAUACCUUGGUGAAAUCCAGAAUGUUAUAACAUUAUAUAUGUUAUAUAUAAUAACAUAUAAAAACCACCAAAUAAGUCACUUGAGGAGGCUGAUAUCCAAACUCUAGUCCCUCUGGAUUACAGUAUCCAUCUUUUUUCACCUUUCCAGUGUCUGAAGUCUAGGUACUACAGUGAAUAAAUUCUUAUUGUGACUUGAGAUAUAAUUUGUCCAGGUCAGGAUACUUGAACUUCUACAGAAUAACUAUGUAUUCUCUUGCUAUCUUCCCACCAUUAGGCUUCAGGUCUCCCCACUCCCUGAUCCUUUUGUUAUUCUUUCCAGUAUGAAGAUCGUUCUCCUUGUCAAAGGAGAUUUAAGCAAAAUAAGUCAACUUUUUUUUUAUUUCAAGCUGCAUGCCUAUUUCUUCUCAUCUAUCUUGCUCCAAUUUCCCACCUCCCCCUCUUAUUGUUAUUGUUAAUACUUUCCCCAAAAUCAUACCUCAUUUUUUGCUUGAGACUGCUCAAUGUUUUUCUCAUUAGUUUCAUGUCACUCUUGCCUCAUGGGUAUUUCUCCUCAUUUAUGUGUCUCAUAUUUUUGAACUUAUCCUUUUCAAAUCUGAAUUCAUUGGAGAGUUCAUUAUAACCAUGUUGGUCUCUAACGUGCCUACUUAUUUAGCAGAAUAAUUUAUUUUAUUAGAAUUUCAUUUUUAAGUGCAUUCCUUCAGUUUUAAACCAUUGUAAAUGUUAGCAUCUUGGACCAUCUUAAAGGGGCAGCUAGGUGGCAAAGUGGAGUGCCAGGCCUGGAGUUAGGAAGAUUAAUUUUUCUGAGUUCAAAUCUGGCCUUAGAUACUUUUACUAGCUGUGUGACACUGGGCAAGUUGUUUAAUAUUGUUUGACUAAGUUUCUUCAUCUGUCAAAAAAGUGCUGGAGAAGGAAAUGGCUCACCACUAGUUUUUUGCCAAGAAAACCCCAAAUGAGAUCUUAAAGCAUCAGUCACAACUGAAAGGACUAGUAUUAAGCACCUACUACUUGCUAGACAUUGUGCUAGGUGCUGGAGAUAAAAAAGAAAGGCAAAAACUCCAUGCCUUAGAGCAGUAGUGGUGAACCUAUUAGAGACAGAAUGCUGCCCCUCCCUCCCAUUACUCCACAUAGGAGAGGGAGGAAGCAUUCCCAUUGAGCUGCUGGGCAGAGGGAUGGGUGAUGGGAUAUAUGUCCUCAGCACCUAUAGAGAAAGAGAGUGACCUUGGCACUCUGCUCCCCUCCAGCUCUGCUGCCUGUGAGCUACCCACCUGUGAAUUCCCAUUGGGCUGCUAAGCAUAGGGUAUAUGUGUGAAAAAAUGUCCUAAGGCAUGAUGGAGAGGGGGGAGGAGAGCAGCUCUGCUUGAGUCCCUGUGUCUUUCUAGUAAUGAACUCUGGGUGAGGAGGGCAACCACAGAAAGUGUUCUGUCUGCCAUCUUUGGCACCUGUGCCAUAGGUUUGCCAUCACUGCCUUAGGAAGUUCACAAUGUGAGAGACGGAACACAAAUAUUAUUUGAACACUGUAAAGAUAAUUUUAGGGUUGUGACUUAAAUCUAGAUUUAAUUGGUUGCCAAGGGAAAUCUCAAAUAAAAUAAAUACCCAAGUCAGUCUGGAAAUUUAUGGUAAUUUAAUUAAUAUAGAGGGGAGAAAUUUGAGGAGAGAGGAGGAUAUAGGAUUUCUCCUGCCUGGCAUGUGCCAGGGGGAGUUUAAAAUCCCCGCCUCUAGGUCUCUGAAGAAGAUUAGAGGAUUCUAAGAGGAUAAAGUUGGAAGGAAAAGGAGGAAAAUUCAGCCAGAAACUCACCACCAAACAGGACAAUAGCUUGUAUCCAUGCUAAGAUACCAAAAGGCCCAGCAUGCUGCUAUCAGCUAAUUCUCCGCCGCAAAAGGUACCAGAGAGAGGAAAUGAGCCAAUAUAUAGAUCUUUCACCCUUGUGUCUCCCUCCUCUAAAUUUUCACAUCUACCAAAGGCUUUUCUCCAGGCCUGCCCAUACUUUUAGUUCUCACCUUCUUUUGAUUAGAUUUAUAUCUUUAGAGUUACUUAACACUUCUUUAAGUUCACCUUUUGUGAAUUACUUAACCUUUUUGUGAUUAAUUUAACCUUUAUAGUUACUUAACACAUUUUUGUAGUAAGAUCUUAAAAUAGACUUAGCUUAAAGUUCUAGCUUUACUGCAAGGUAAGAGUUAAGUACCUUCAUUGUUCGAUCAGGAGAUUACAACUUUAUCUUCUCCGAAAGUAUGGUCUAAGUAGGGUGGAAUAGAAUAAAGCUCCCAAGACAUUCCUGAUUUUGUUAAACUAAGUAUUGUUACAAUCAGGAAAUAGCUAAAAUCAAUCUUCACAACACAUAAGAUUAUAGACAACAUAACUGGAGGAAAUCUAAGAGAAAAGGUACUAAUAGUGUUGGAGACCAGGAAAAACAUUGAGCAGAAGGUGGGAUUUGAACUAUCUUGAAAGAAACUGUCAGACUAAGCUGUAGAGGGAAAUAAUUUCAGAUAUGGGGCAUAUCGUGAAAAUAUUAUCAAGGGGACAGUGGAAAACCUACCAGGAAAAACCACACCCCUCAGUGGUUGGCAGAAAGGGACAGACACAUUUCUUCCUAAACCUUCCAAGAAGUAGAAAGGUUAUAGUCUUUCAAUUGGAGCCACAUCAGAAUUUGACCAAAAGAGAGCAACAACGGCUCAAACAUCACCAAGAGAUGGUAUAAAAAAAAAAGACUACUUCAUAAGAAAGAUAUUACAAAUGGCAUGAUUAUUAGCAUCAGAAAAAAAGAUUUCAGGACAGAGAUUGUGGGAAUUAAUGACUGCAGUAUCUACCCAUAUAUUGGUAGCUUGCGUGGACUACCCCUAAAGCUUCUGGGGCAAGUAGGAGAUCCAUCCCAUGGUGGAGUCAUCUCUUGUCCAUUAAGACCUUGUUCAAAUGUAUUUUAUAGCUUCAUGUGAAACUGAUGCUUGUAUGGACUGCUUGCUCCAAUCCCAAGGAUGGGGAGACAGAUGCAUGUUUGGAAUUAUUGUUUUAAUUAUAAUUGUGAUCUUGGUUCCAGAGCAUCCCAGAUGGCUACAAAGAUAGUCAGCAGCAAAAGGGUGGCAUGUUGUGUGACCAAGUAUGAUAAUUUAGGAUAAUUGGCUCCUUUUUGUUUGUGUUUUGAGUUUUGCUAUGAGAGUGCAUUCUUUUAAGUUGUUUUUCAACAAUAAAUAACAGAUGUGUAUUCCAUAAAUAAUAAAUAUAUGAAUCCCCAAAUUGGACAAACUAUCAAUGAGAAAAUAUUGCACACAACUUUAAUAGUUUAUAUAAUUAUCUACCAAUAAAACUGUGGUUAACAAACUAGAUAAUAGACCACCAGUCAUAACUUAAAAGCAACCAGUGGACAUGUCAAGCUAGGACCAGAAAAAUUGGCCAGAGGUCUCAGGCAUCAGCCUUCUCCUAAAGAAACUUUUGUGAGCACUGGUAUGACAUUCUUUGCUGAUGGCACCCAUAGGAAUCAGGUUAGUGGUUUGUUCUUUAGAGGAGUUAAUGUCUGCAUUGUAAAACAGAUAAUUGUAUGUUUUAGAUGGAGGAAAUAAUUAUUCUGUAUCAUUUAAUAAUUGAUUUCAAUUCUGUACUUGGCCCUAUUACUCCCCCAUUUUGUCAAGCCACACUUCUUGGUUGUGGUUGAAUAGAAAAAGUUAUCAUUCAUGCUGAUAAUCCCCGAGCCAUCUGGUUGCUCUCUGUAAGCCCCAACAGGCUUAACUGAGUGCCAUCCUCAACAGAAAGAUAUGUCAUCUGCCCUUGCCUGUCCUUGUGCAGUUAGGGGAGAUUUGGUCUUCUUCAAAGGAGCAGGCUAGUAGUAUUGAUCUAACAAGGACUACAAGAAAGAGAUGAGUCCUUACAUAAAGCAAUUACUAUUCCUGUAUUGUCAGAGAGAGGCAUUAGCCACACUUGAAUACCAAAUCACUUCUCUUAGUAUAGCCAAAUGUAAUGUUCCCCACCUAGCCAGACGCCUCUUUUCCUGCCUAUAAACAAACCAAAAAAAAGGAUUCUUUCCUAUUCUUUGUGGUCAUUGACUUUACAUAGGUGGCCAGUCUAACCUGCUCUGUUAAGUUGCAAAUAUGUCUGUGAUAAACGGAUUUUGCUCAGUCUACCUCAGUUUGCCUCUGAUGAAUUUACUCACAACUUUACUCAAGAUGAAUAAAGUUGGAUUUCAUGCGUU